rnacentral:misc_RNA from 1 species
CUCACACGACCUUCUCCUUCCACUAGUAUGUACAUCUUCCGAACGUGGCGGGUACGCAAAGAAAGGCAACGAACGAAUUCCCCUUAGCCCGGGAAAACGCAAAGAGCGGCAGCCACCGCUACAAGAGCAACAACGACACUAAAGAAGUCCAACGCUAUCGUUUAUAUCGAGUUGUACAUCCACAUCGGCUGCGCUGUUUGGUUUUCGUUUCUUUGGCUUUGUGUCACCAUCUCUCCCGCUCGCUCUCGCUGCCUCCCUCUCUCCUCGUUACACACACACAUAAACACAAUACGCGCGCAAAACACAAAAUUCACUGCUUCUCUCUCCCCCUUCUUUCUCGCUGCUUCACCGUCUUUUCUGCCGCUGCCGCUGGAAGAAAGACAAAAAAAAAUAAAGGAAGUCGCUGUUUGGAUUAUCUGUGUGCCACCGUCUUCAGCAUUCCCUUUUCUUUAUUUCUUCUUUUUUUUUCGUUGUGCGCCCCUUUGCUCAAGUCUUGCGUCGCGACGGCACUUCGCUCCCGACAACUAAAACCGAUGUAAAACGGGCACGUCGGCAAAGUCGAUCCCCCUCGCCGGAACUCCAUCCCUUCCCCCUUCCACCACCACGACCCUCGCCUGCACCCGUUGCCUGAUUUCUGUUGUUGUUUUCGGCUCCUACCACUUGAACCUGCUUCACCCCUUCCCUCCCCACCGCCCUUUGCUUCGCGUUCGCUGUGUUGCCCACUUACCCCGCCCCAAACACCCUUCUUUGGUGUGGGUGUCGGUGUGCAUGUGCGUGCCUGUCUCGAACCUCUUUUUACUAGCAUGAAGUUUUGUUCUUGUUGCCACCACCACCGCCUCCUUCAUCUUCACUCACCGCCCCUUUUAUCUUCAUCGCCCGUGGCCUAUAUCUUGCCCGAUUGCCCCCCCCCCUGCUCGUGCCUCACUGACUUCGCGUAACGCGUGGGUCACUCGAGGGCAUUGGGCCACUCCUGAGCCUUUUCCACUUUUCUGCACCCUCGACCUAUCCUUGUGAUCUGCGUGGCUCACCAAAGAGUCUGGCUUUUCUUCCCACCCCCCCCACCCCUCGCCCGCCGUCUACGCGUACAUGCCAAUGCUCCGAAACAGAAUGGGCCGCCUCAACAGAUCCGGCAUGCAUUUCUUUGUUGGUGGACCAGCUGCAUCCGUUGCCUACAGCUAUCGUUCCUCCAUGUAUACCCCCUCCCCUUUAUCGGCCGCGGCAGCACGACUAGCGGCUUUGCCUGUGGGCUUGCUGCGCCGGUGGAACUGCGUCAGCCGCGGCGCUGGUACUUCAUGUCCACGGCGGCACCGCGGGCGGCGGAGGACAUGCGCAUCUACAAGUCGAAGCUGCCGUCGGUGAUGGACAAGGUGAACCGGGAGACGACGCUGCACGGGUAUCUGAUGAAGCGCAUGGCGGCGGCGGACCCGAAGAAAAUCGCUGCGGUGCAGGCGGAGACGGGCAAGACACUCACGUACCCGGAGCUGAUGAAGGCGACGGAGCACGCGGCGAAAGCACUGCACCAGCAUGGCGUGCGGAAGGGCGACGUUGUGUGCCUGUGCAUGCUGAACACGAUCGUGUACGGCCCGCUGGUGUACGGCACGCUGCGCCUCGGCGCGAUCGCGUCGACGGUGAACGCCGUGGCAACGGCGUCGACGCUGGCGUACCACUUCAAGGCGAACGGUGCGAAGGUGGUGCUGGGCAUGCACUUCUUCCAGAAGCAGCUCGCGGAGGCCGUGGCGCUGGUAGAGCAGGAGACCGGGCGGAAGGUCCAGGUGCUGUACCCGGAGGAGUUCUUCAAGACAGACGCUCCCGAGAUCCCUGCGGACUACGACGGGCUGAAGGGGGCCACGCCGAACGACACCGUGGCCAUCCUCUUCUCGAGCGGCACGACCGGCAUGCCGAAGGGUGUGCAGCUGACGAACCGUGCGCUCAUUGCGUGCUCGGAGCAGUCCGCCAGCGCGUUCGGCGUUGGCUCGCAGGACACCGCCGUGACCGUUCUUCCGCUGUUUCACGUCUUCGGGUUCACGGCGUGCAUGAACUGCAUGUUCGCCUACGCCGCGACGCAGGUGGUGAUGUCCAAGUACUCGGUCGAGGACUACGUGCGCGCGAUUGAGAAGUACAAGGCGACGGUCAACCUCGUCGCCCCGCCGAUCCUCAUCUCGCUGGUGAAGAACGCGGACAAGGUGAAGCGGCACGACCUGUCGUCGCUCAAGCGCUUCUGCUCCUCGUCGGCGCCGCUUGGAGCGGACGUGGUGGACACGGUGGAGCAGCUGAUCCCUGGCUGCGCUGUCACCCAGGGCUACGGCAUGACGGAGAUGGCGCCGACGGUGACGGCACCGCUGUGGGGCCAACGGUGCACGCCAGGCUGCUGCGGGAGCCUGAUACCCGACACGGAGCUACGCAUCGUGAAGGUGGACGACAGCCAGCAGAGCGGCGCGGAUAAGUCUUGCGGCAUCGACGCAGAGCCCGGCGCGGAGGGUGAGGUGUGGGUGCGUGGUCCGCAGAUGAUGAAGGGCUAUUUGCGCGAUGAGGACACGGCCAUGUGCAUGCAGGACGGCUGGUACCGCACUGGCGACAUCGGCAGGAUGCUGGAGACUGACGAGCUGAUGAUCACGGACCGGCUGAAGGAGCUGAUCAAGUACAAGGGCUUUCAGGUGUCGCCGGCUUCCCUGGAGGCGCUCUUGCUGACGCACCCGUGGGUGAAGGACUGCGUGGUGAUUGGCGUGCCGGACCCGCGCGACGUGAGCUUCGAGAACCCGCGUGCGCUCGUCGUGCUGCAGCCCUCUGUGUCCCCAGAGGACGCCGUGCGUGCGUCGGACGAGCUGUACCGCUUCGUGAUGAUAAGCAUGCCCCCGCACAAGCGGCUGCACGGCGGUGUGCGCGUCGUGGACGAGAUUCCUCGCAACGCCGCUGGCAAGGUGAUGCGGCGUCAGGUGCGCCAGGAUGAGGUGGCGCUGCUGAAGGGGCAGAACAGCGAUAGCGGUGAGGGCAAGUGAAAGAAAGAGUACAUGAGGGAGGGGUGCCGAAGGGACGAAGAGAGCAGGUGUGCAUGUGCGCCCCGGUUGCAGAGGUGCGGCAGUUGUAGUAAAACGCACAAUAGUGGUAGUAGCCGUGCUUGCAGAUGGGGACAGGGAGGAGACGAGCAAAACCGGCUGUUGUGUGGCGGCGGCUGCGGAGAGGGAAGGCGAAGCGAAUCGCGCACACAAAGCCAUCACCAAGAACAGCGGCGACCUCCUCGCCUACAGUAAAUGUCACAGGUGGUCUGCACCGCCGCAUGGCUUCCGUGUAGACUGAAUGAGCUCGCAUGUGGAACAUGAAACUCUGCGCCUACGUUUCUUUUGAUUCCCCUCGCUCUGUCUCUCCUUCUCGUCCCUGCAAGCCCCCUCCUCCCUUUGCGCGUCUGUGCAGAGGUGUGUUUCUGUGAGCUGCUGCCGCGCCGCCAACGAUCUUUACCGCCUUAUCGCUCUUGCAUGGACGACGCCUUCGUUUUCCACGUCGUUCUCCGACGUAGUUUUCUUCUCCCUCCUCGUCUCUGUCUUGACUGCUUCUCCGCUCGCGCUGCGAUCGCUGCUCUUCUCGUGCGUCCUUGCUCUCCUUUCAGAGAUCACUUGCGCUACCCUGAUGAUGCGGGCCACCUCAGCGUGGCACCACACUUCAAGUGCCCGCUCUGUAUGGGGAGGCCAAGCAGCCGGCAGCCUGUCCUUGGGCAUGGCGAGCGGGCUCUCGGUGUCGGCGGACAGGUGUGGGUCAGCGCGGUGCCGCAGAGACCUACGGCCAUGAUCGCGUUCGUACCAGUGCGCUGCAAAUUGUGUCGACGGUCCCACAAAUAUGCGCAUCCACCUCCUGUGUUGUCUCUGCUCUGGCUGCGUUGCGGUGGCGUUGAGCGUGAUCCCGGGCCGAGCCUGCGCUGUGUGCUGCCGUGGCCUUGCGCUGGACGGAACGACGCCGAACGGUGUUGGUAGGGCCUGGCUCCUUGGCGAAUCCUCGAUGCAAGUCUGCAUUCUGCGAGAGGAGGGCAUGCCACCACGACAUUUGGCCUCGCGGGUUAUCAGCGUGCUGGUGCAGCAGUAGGAAAGAAGAGCGGCUGUCGGAGUGAACGGCGGCAUAAACAGGC